GAUGAAGAACGUAGCGAAAUGCGAUAAGUAAUGUGAAUUGCAGAAUUCCGUGAAUCAUCGAAUCUUUGAACGCACAUUGCGCCCCCUGGUAUUCCGGGGGGCAUGCCUGUCCGAGCGUCAUUGCAACCCUCAAGCGCGGCUUGUGUGUUGGGCUUCGUCCCCCCGUGGACGUGCCCGAAAGGCAGUGGCGGCGUCCCGAAUGGUGCCCGAGCGUAUGGGAACUCUCUUCCGCUCGAACCGGCCCAUCCGGCGCUGGUCGAACCCCAAUUUUUUUUUACCGGUUGACCUCGGAUCAGGUAGGGAUACCCGCUGAACUUAAGCAUAUCAAUAAGCGGAGGA
rnacentral:misc_RNA from 1 species